rnacentral:misc_RNA from 1 species
GUAUUCGAGUUUUUUUGAUUACUCUGAAAGCUUAGACUUGCAAUUGAAGACGUGUGAGAGAAAAAUCAAGUCCAAUCCGAGUUGGAAAGGACUCUUAUACAUUGCACACAAGGUGGGUAUGGAUUUGAAAGUGCCAUAAACACUUAUUGUGAAUGAUCCUUCCGCAGGUUCACCUACGGAAA